rnacentral:tRNA from 1 species
ACGGUGAGGGUUCGACUCCUUUAUCUACCGCCUAAUAAGAUUUAAAGCUGGCGCUCGUUGUCGGACAAGCGUUAGGUUUCCUCUACGUGU